rnacentral:rRNA from 1 species
GACGAACGCUGGGUGCGUGCUUACACAUACAAGUAGAACACUGAAGCCCUGUGCUUGCACCGGGGUGGAUGAGUGGCGAACGGGUGAGUAACACGUGAGUAACCUCCCCCUGACUUCGGGAUAAGCCCGGGAAACUGGGUCUAAUACCGGAUAUGACCGUUCCUCGCAUGAGGGAUGGUGGAAAGUUGUUUCGGUUGGGGAUGGGCUCGCGGCCUAUCAGCUAGAUGGUGGGGUAAGGGCCCACCAUGGCGACGACGGGUAGCCGGCCUGAGAGGGCGACCGGCCACACUGGGACUGAGACACGGCCCAGACUCCUACGGGAGGCAGCAGUGGGGAAUAUUGCACAAUGGGGGAAACCCUGAUGCAGCGACGCAGCGUGCGGGAUGACGGCCUUCGGGUUGUAAACCGCUUUCAGCAGGGAAGAAGCCGCCCUUCGGGGUGGUGACGGUACCUGCAGAAGAAGUACCGGCUAACUACGUGCCAGCAGCCGCGGUAAUACGUAGGGUACGAGCGUUGUCCGGAAUUAUUGGGCGUAAAGAGCUCGUAGGUGGUUGGUCACGUCUGCUGUGGAAACGCAACGCUUAACGUUGCGCGUGCAGUGGGUACGGGCUGACUAGAGUGCAGUAGGGGAGUCUGGAAUUCCUGGUGUAGCGGUGAAAUGCGCAGAUAUCAGGAGGAACACCGGUGGCGAAGGCGGGACUCUGGGCUGUAACUGACACUGAGGAGCGAAAGCAUGGGGAGCGAACAGGAUUAGAUACCCUGGUAGUCCAUGCCGUAAACGUUGGGCACUAGGUGUGGGGGACAUUCCACGUUCUCCGCGCCGUAGCUAACGCAUUAAGUGCCCCGCCUGGG